rnacentral:lncRNA from 1 species
GUUUCAAACAAAAUCCACCUGCAUUAUGCCAUCAUUAGUAGACAGGAUCAUUGAUGUAACAAUGUUUAAUACAACAUUAAUUAUUAAUAAUCCUAUAUGUGUUUAUAUGAAGCCUUGAAAGAUGGGACAAAUGAGAACAGUUGAAACAUCCAUUGAUUUUUUUUUUUUUUGAGCCCCAUAUAUUGAUUUUUCUUUUUGCGCUAACAUAUAUAGUCUAGUUCGAACAAUUAAAAGUAAUUUAAAAAAUUUGCAUCAAUUAAAAUAAGAGAUUAUAUACACUCAUACAGUCAUAUUGAGCAAUGAAAUUCAAUUUUUGGUCAUCUAUCUGAAAAAUACAAAUUAUGAAAAAAAAAUCACAAUUUCAAUCUAAAAUAUAUUUUGACCCCGCGGAUCCUACUCUACCCAACUCAACCUCCUAUACGUGAUUCUCUCUCUGUCUUUC